GAACAAUUUUUAAAUCAACCGAAUAAGUUCGAAAUAUCGGUUAAAGAAGUAUCCAGAGUAGGGGGAAAAAAUCCUUACGAAUUUAUUAAGCGCAAUUGUACUCGUUUGUUGACCAACGAGCUGGCUGAAAAAUAUAGUUGGCUAGGAGCAAAACAGAAAAGGAAAUUUUGUCAUUUAAAACUCGCUGACUUGCUAAUUGUUUCCGGUCAAGAUAGUAAUUCCGAAUAUAACAAGAAAGUUUUAGAAGAAGCAGUUCAGAAAUGGCUGCGAAGAGCUAAAGAAAGAUUAAAUGGUGAAAAGAAGAAGCAAGAUAAACAAAGAACUGAAGAAGACUCAUCAUAACUAUAAGAAGACUAAUAACAAGAAGAUUAAUAAUAUUAAUAAAUUUUUGAUAUAUUUUA